CCUACGGGGGGCAGCAGUGGGGGAUAUUGCACAAUGGGGGAAACCCUGAUGCAGCGACGCCGCGUGUGGGAAGACGGUCUUCUGGAUUGUAAACCACUGUCCCCAGGGACGAAAAUGACGGUACCUGGGGAGGAAGCUCCGGCUAACUACGUGCCAGCAGCCGCGGUAAUACGUAGGGAGCAAGCGUUGUCCGGAAUUACUGGGUGAAAGGGUAGCGUAGGCGGGGAUGCAAGUUGGGUGUCAAAACUACCGGCUCAACCGAUAGUCGCACUCAAAACUGCAGCUCUUGAGUGAAGUAGAGGCAGGCGGAAUUCCUAGUGUAGCGGUGAAAUGCGUAGAUAUUAGGAGGAACACCAGUGGCGAAGGCGGCCUGCUGGGCUUUUACUGACGCUGAGGCUCGAAAGUGUGGGGAGCAAACAGGAUUAGAUACCCCGGUAGUC
rnacentral:rRNA from 1 species